rnacentral:precursor_RNA from 13 species
AGGAUCCCAGCUGACCUCUGGCGCGGUGUCAGCAGGUCACGUGUGGUGCAGCGUGAUAGUGGAAUAUGCUGCAUCAGGUGUGGCACAGCACACAGCACUGUCUCUCCAGCCACAAAUUGGGC